AACGCACAUGGCGCCUCCCAGUAUCCUGGGAGGCAUGCCUGUCCGAGCGUCGUUUCAACCCUCGAGCCCCCCGUGGCCCGGCGUUGGGGAUCUGCCACGGCAGGCCCCUAAAACCAGUGGCGGACCCGCUGGGCCCUCUCCUUUGCGUAGUAGCAUCAGCCUCGCAUCGGGAGCCCUCGGCGUCCUGCCUCUAAACCCCCCACAAGCCCGCUCCGGCGGCACCAAGGUUGACCUCGGAUCAGGUAGGAAUACCCGCUGAACUUAA
rnacentral:misc_RNA from 1 species